GGUCUGUGAUGAGAAAUAGCCAAAUCUGACCACCAGAAGAUAAAAACAAUCUUCCAGGUGUCAUGAUUUAUAUGUAGUUCUGAGA
ensembl:snoRNA